rnacentral:misc_RNA from 1 species
CACAUAUAUUAUUACUCUUACAAAAUGAAUUCCUUAAUCCGUUCCUUCCAACUUGUUGGCAAAUUGGCAUCUCCUCAAUUCAACCCUCAAAGCUAAGCAUCCUUGCAAAACGUAAGGGGCAAUCUCCAUACGUUUGAUCCUUCUUAGAAUAUGUAAUGAGACAGGUCUUGCGUAUGGAGACACCUUGUUAAUCAUCUGCUUGAGCGAUUGAGUUUUGAAUGGAAGUUUGAUUACGCACUUGCAGACUUAGUUUGAUGGUAGGUGCAUCUCUCAUAUUGAGCAAGGCUUUAAGUUUGUAUCUCCACGUAAUCCUCCACUAGCCUUUUUAUGGCUAUAGUAGUGGUUGAAAAGUGUCAAGUUGCAGGCAAAUGGAACCAGAACCAAAAUUC